rnacentral:lncRNA from 1 species
UGACAACCCCCCAUCCAGAGGAGAGUGAAAUUGCUCUCUACGAUUUGGACAGGUCAUGAAAAGCUAUCUCUAGAAAUUUUUGAAACCUUAUAUUUCAUUUCAAAAAUGAGUGCGAUUUUGCAUUUCUACCGCAAAAUAUAUCUCAGCCACAUACCGUUGGACCUAAUGUGACCAGCUGGCCCCAGGUGUGUCCAGACACACAACUUUGGACAUAUUAGGAGAAAUGAUCAGACUUCAGAAGGCCAAACCCAGCCCCUCCUGCUCUUGUGGCCGUGUCUCUUCCAGGUUUCUUGCCCUCUGUUUUUCUGGAACCCUGAGGGAUUUUACACAUGUUCCCUAAUGCUCCAUUCUCACAAGCCCGGGGUCCUCUCACCCCCUCUCACCCCUAAGUUUGUCCCUAAGUUCACUGAGUCAACAGCCUCGCAUGGGGGCAGGGUCCAGACAGCACCUCUUUCUCUUCCUGCAUUUCUUCAGGAGCCAGAAAGGGAUGGGGGUGUCUCUCCUAAAUUGUAUCAAUGUCUGGCAGCUCCGUAAGCCCUGUGUUCUGUCAUCUCAGGUCACUCUGCUGGCCUUGGGCCCCUCUCUGUCCUGCUGACCAUUCUGGUCUGGGCCCUGGGGAAAGGGCUUUCCUUUGUUGUGUCACAGAAGAGCUCCCAGCAGAGCGCAGCUUUCGCGUCUCUCCUGCAUAUCUCGGCCCUCUGCUUCCAGCAGGCAGGCUCUCCCGGACUCAGGGACUCCAUGGUCCUCCACAGCCUGGCUGUCGUCAGGGUCUCCGCUCUUUAGGUAUGUUCGUAAUGAACUCUGAUUGUGAACAAGAUUCAAAUUCUUUCCCAUGGGGCUCCUGGGUCCCAUUCAAAUCCCAACUCCUGUUAACCCUCCCCAAACACACAGUGGCCGUUCAGAAAGUGUCACUCUGAACAUAAAGACAAAGCUAGUCUUCAGGAGUGGAAGUGAGGGGCAGCUGAUAAGUCUCAGCUCUGACCCAGCCAAGACACCUUAGUGGGUGAAAGAGUCAAGAGCAUUGCUGGCUGGAGACAAGAGAUGGCGCUGUGAGCCCAACGGAAAGAGAAGGCGUGAUUAUUAUAUGUCAGCUAGGUUAGCCCGAUUUAUCUGCAGGAGAGGUUUCACGACCAGCAGCUACAACCAUGGUGACCACUGAAACACACUGUUACAUUCUCUUGGGCUUGGACUAUUUGGAGAACCAACGAUUAUUUUAGCAAGGGAAAAUGGAGCACCAUCUUCCUUCUGGAGAAUCUUUGAUGGCAUAGGUGGGACACCUGCUGUACAGCCAACAAAUCCAAAAGUCUCUCCGUGAACAAGGGAAAUUAACAACAACGUCUGCCACCGCAUUGGCUGUGAGCACUUGAAAUCUUGGCUGGUGAUUUGCUGCAAUAAGUGCAGGCCUGGGAAAAGGCUGGCACUACCAGCUAGCUUUGACAACCUGCCAGCAGCCUCCCUGCUUUGGAAAUUGUAUGACUCUGUGAAUGCUGUCUAACCGUCUGAGCCAUAGUAUGAACAUGUACUGAUGAGUACUGAAGCACGGCGGAAUCUUUACCGAAUUCAGUAUUGCCAAGACGAAAAAGGGCUACACGUUGGAGACAUUUACAUAAGAAUCUCGUUUUAUUCAAGCUCAGCAGAGCAGUCCGGGUGGAAAAAAGGAGAGCCAGACCUUGGCAGUGGCUCUGUUUACACUGUGUGCUCGAUGUCUAACUCAAAGCCUGUACAGAGGACACUCAGGAAAAAUGUGUGGAAUGACCGAAUUAAUUAGGAAUCAGAGAGGAAAAAAUUCAAAUGGCUGACCACAAGCGGGAAACACACCUACAAGAUAUCCAUCACAGCUGACAGAAGAAUGGAACAGUGAAAGGUCCUGGAGUCCAUCAUGCCUGAAGGAAAUUCCCUCCUUACUGCCCAUUUUCCCUAUGAAACUGCCUCAAGAUUCUGUAAUUUUUGAAGACAGUUUUUUUUGAGACAGUCUGCCAUCUUCUCGAUUACGCCAGCUAAUCGAAUUAAAA